GACGAACGCUGGCGGCGUGCUUAACACAUGCAAGUCGAACGAAGAGCGAUGGAAGCUUGCUUCUAUCAAUCUUAGUGGCGAACGGGUGAGUAACGCGUAAUCAACCUGCCCUUCAGAGGGGGACAACAGUUGGAAACGACUGCUAAUACCGCAUACGAUCUAACCUCGGCAUCGAGGAUGGAUGAAAGGUGGCCUCUAUUUAUAAGCUAUCACUGAAGGAGGGGAUUGCGUCUGAUUAGCUAGUUGGAGGGGUAACGGCCCACCAAGGCGAUGAUCAGUAGCCGGUCUGAGAGGAUGAACGGCCACAUUGGGACUGAGACACGGCCCAGACUCCUACGGGAGGCAGCAGUGGGGAAUCUUCCGCAAUGGACGAAAGUCUGACGGAGCAACGCCGCGUGAGUGAUGACGGCCUUCGGGUUGUAAAGCUCUGUUAAUCGGGACGAAAGGCCUUCUUGCGAAUAGUUAGAAGGAUUGACGGUACCGGAAUAGAAAGCCACGGCU
rnacentral:rRNA from 1 species